rnacentral:sRNA from 1 species
UUAUAUCCUCAUCCCUG